rnacentral:rRNA from 1 species
AACGAACGCUGGCGGCGUGCCUAAUACAUGCAAGUCGAGCGGAAGUUGGAGAGCUUGCUCUUCAACUUUAGCGGCGGACGGGUGAGUAACACGUGGGCAACCUGCCCUGCAGAUCGGGAUAACUCCGGGAAACCGGUGCUAAUACCGAAUAGUUUUCGCCACCUCCUGGUGGCGUACGGAAAGACGGUUUCGGCUGUCACUGCAGGAUGGGCCCGCGGCGCAUUAGCUAGUUGGUGGGGUAACGGCCCACCAAGGCAACGAUGCGUAGCCGACCUGCGAGGGUGAUCGGACACACUGGGACUGAGACACGGCCCAGACUCCUACGGGAGGCAGCAGUAGGGAAUCUUCCGCAAUGGACGAAAGUCUGACGGAGCAACGCCGCGUGAGUGACGAAGGUUUUCGGAUCGUAAAACUCUGUUGUGAGGGAAGAACAAGUACCAACUAACUACUGGUACCUUGACGGUACCUCACCAGAAAGCCACGGCUAACUACGUGCCAGCCGCCGCCGUA